CUAGAAAUUAUCUAGUGUUUUUUGGAAACUCUUGGUGGUAAGAGAAGGUAUAAAAUUUUAAGAAUGAUAGGUAUCAAUGUGAAGAACUGUCAGAAGUGUCGAAUGACGUUAUUUGAUUACACAUAGGAAUAAAGUUAUCCUUACUAUCGUAUAUAUAUACAUAUAUAUAUAUGAUAUUUAUAUAUCGUAUAUAUUGAAUGUUACAUAUUUAUAUAUGACAAAAGAGAAUCACAUUAUUAUUUGAUGGUAGAUCAAAAGACAAAAUAAUAAAGAUGAUACAGUCGUUAUAUACAGUAUUACAUAUAGGAGUGCGUUAACCGAUACGAAUAACCUGGCUAUCUAUUAAAGUUACUAUCCUGUCGAUUACCCAUUAAUAACAUCAUGUUUAAGAAAUGUUUCAUGUAUUUUUAAUGAUAUUAUGUGUAUUUUACUAUGAAAGCAAAUAAUGGAGGUUUCCGAGACGCGAAACCUCGUUAGAGAUUUAGAUUUGACUCUUCAACCCCGUAUCGCACCACGUUAUAAAACUUGGCUACCCCUUGCUACGCAGCAGUUGAGACUUAGGAGCUUGAUCCAAAUAAUUGGAUAUAAAUUGAGGACAAAUGUAAAUUGCGAGAUCAGUUGGUUUUAUUAUACUUUACAUAGAACAACUAUGUCAUCGCCGAUAUAUACAAGCGAAUUAAUAGAUAAUGCCAAUCCUAGAUGGUCUAGCCUGGAAGUACCUACUUUACAUGCCACAGGUUACUCAUCUGCCAGUGAAAUAAUCCUAAGGCUAUGGAAAAGAACGGCUGUGGGUAGUAAUACAUCAGAUAUAACUGUAUUUACAUGGGGUAUUUCUUUUACCGGCCUUGCAUAUAUCGGUCCUAAAUUACCCAGCAACUUGGAAAAAAUUCUUAAAGAAAAUUCUAUAAUUUUUUACUUCAAUGGCGGCUUUUUUACACCUGCAUAUUGUUUCAUAACAACACCAGAGUUGAAAAGAUAUCUCCGUAUAAGCAUUAAUGCAAAUGAAAUAAAAGACAGUUAUACUGUAAAUAAAUUGACUAGUUUGAGAAGCAAGAUGCAAGCGCUUAAACAACAGACCAAUUCAGUGGAAGUUUUAAGAAUGCGAAUUGCCUCCGGUGAUAAUUUUCAAACACCAAAAUAUCCUCAAUCUUCUUUGAAUAGAUUAUUUCAACCUCGUACAGUUAAUAGAGAAAAAAAAGCUGAAAUACUUAAAAUACGUAAGGAAUUAGAAAUGGCCAAAUUUCGAACAAAGCUAUUAGAACAGGAAAGGGCAAGGAAAAUGGGAGAAUUAAGAGUACUAAACCAACUACAUGCUACUAUUACAGAAGAAAAUCAAGAUCAUGGUUCCGAUUUGAUGGAAAGAUAUAGAGAACUUAACAAAGAUAUUGAAAGAUUGCAUGAAUGGCGUCAAAGUCAUAUUGAUACCAGAGAAACUUACAUUCAAAUGAGCAGUCAAUUGGCUCAUCGUCGACGUCAAUUAAUUUCAGAACUAAGUUUAAUUUAUCCCAUUAAACAGGAUAGCAAUGGAAAAUUCACAAUACAUGACAUACAUUUACCAGAUAGCGAAGAUUUGGAAUUGGCAAAUGAUACUCAAGUAGCCGUGGCAUUGGGCUUUGUAACACAUACGACACAAAUGAUUGCAAAUUUUCUCAAUAUACCUACUAGAUAUCCUAUCAUACAUUAUGGCUCUCGUAGUAAAAUUAUAGAUCACAUUAUAGAAAACCUUCCUGAUAAUGAUAGGCAAUUUCCAUUAUUUGCCAAAGGUAAAGAUAGAUUGCAAUUUCACUACGCUGUUUAUCUAUUAAAUAAAAACAUAGCUCAAUUACGUUGGUAUUGUGGUCUUCCUACUACCGAUUUAAGAGCCACGUUAUCAAAUUUAUCGACCUUGUUAAAAAUGAAGCCAAACCAAUCACAUUUAGAUAAUUCGAAAAGAACAUUUUCUACUUCAUCGUUAGAUACAGAAGUAGGUAAUGGUAAACAGAAUGUUCCUCUUACACCGCCAAUACAGAAAAUUAUUUUUGAAAAAUGCCACAGAUCGUCACGAUCGAUGGGCCAAUUAAAAUCAAUUAAAUCUUCCCUGGGAUCUUCUUUAGAUCAAGGUCUAGACAAACCUGUACAGCCUCUUGUUUUAGGUAGUCAAUCUAAACGAAUUUGCAAAUCGGAAGAAAGUGCCAUAGACGACAGAACAUUAAUGUUAGCUAGAAACAGAUCUAGCACUAGCAGUAACGAAACAUUAAAUUGUACUGUACUGAAUAAUACUAUCACUACAAAUGUAAGUGAUGAUUUUCUUCAAAAUAAUGAUUGCGUUACGAUUGACAAUAAUAUUGAAAUAACAAUACCUACAUCUGUGUCUAAAUCAGCAAAUGUUACUGAUAGUUUAGAAGGUUCUGUCAGUAUUAGAGAUAGAAGUUCUAAUUCCAUAAGUAGUUGUGAAAUGGCCUUAAGUGGUAGCCAAAAUGAUGGAGACGAAAGCCCGAAUGAAAAAACUGCGAUCAAAAGAGAAGAGACCGAACAAAAUAUUUCUUCAAUGAAUCAUGACAAUGUAAAAAACAUUAAAGAUAACGUGGAAGAUACAAUGAAAAAUGGAGAACAUACCAAUACGUCACAUUUAGAUAAUAAUACUUCACAAAAUUAUUGUAUGCAUUAUAACGUCAAAAAUGAUUACAAUUUUGACGUUUUAGAACAAACAGGACCCUUUACGAUUAAUUCGUCUAAAGAACGUAAUGCUAAAUCUUGCUUGUCUCUAGACGAUAUAAUAAGAUGUACUUAUGAUGAAACUGAAAAGAACGAAACAACAAAUUCUAUUUGUAGUUAUACGGAAAAGUGUCAUAUAUCUAACAAAAAAGUAUUAGAUAAACAAUUUUCUUCUCAAUUAAGAAGUAGGACAACGAAGUGAACACUGGUCUGAAGAAAAUGAAGAGGAUAUCUUUAUUAAACAUAACGCGAUGUUAAAUAAAGAUUCAAUAAUGUCGACA
rnacentral:misc_RNA from 1 species